rnacentral:sRNA from 1 species
CCUGUGGUUGAAACCACAGGCUAUAAUAUUCCAUCCCUCCGGGAUG